GUACUGGGCCCACAAAGGUGUAACCUGGGGAUAGGCAGAAGCAGCUGGUCCAACCCCCUUGCCGAUGAUGAGUGCCCAUGACAGACUGCAGUUUGCCCCAGAGAAAGGGGGCUAGAUGACGACUGGCAGUAGCCACUGAGGCAAGGUG